AGAGUUUGAUCCUGGCUCAGAUUGAACGCUGGCGGAAUGCUUUACACAUGCAAGUCGAACGGCAGCACGGGGGCAACCCUGGUGGCGAGUGGCGAACGGGUGAGUAAUACAUCGGAACGUGCCCAGUCGUGGGGGAUAACGUAGCGAAAGUUACGCUAAUACCGCAUACGAUCUAUGGAUGAAAGCGGGGGAUCGCAAGACCUCGCGCGAUUGGAGCGGCCGAUGUCAGAUUAGGUAGUUGGUGGGGUAAAGGCUCACCAAGCCAACGAUCUGUAGCUGGUCUGAGAGGACGACCAGCCACACUGGGACUGAGACACGGCCCAGACUCCUACGGGAGGCAGCAGUGGGGAAUUUUGGACAAUGGACGAAAGUCUGAUCCAGCCAUUCCGCGUGCAGGACGAAGGCCUUCGGGUUGUAAACUGCUUUUGUACGGAACGAAAAAGCCUUGGCUAAUACCCGGGGUCCAUGACGGUACCGUAAGAAUAAGCACCGGGCUAACUACGUGCCAGCAGCCGCGGUAAUACGUAGGGGUGCGAGCGUUAAUCGGAAUUACUGGGCGUAAAGCGUGCGCAGGCGGUUUUGUAAGACAGAGGUGAAAUCCCCGGCUUCACCUGGGAACUGCCUUUGUGACUGCAAGGCUAGAGUGCGGCAGAGGGGGGAUGGAAUUCCCCCGUGUAGCAGUGAAAUGCGUAGAUAUGCGGAGGAACACCCGAUGGCGAAAGCAAUCCCCUGGGCCUGCACUGACGCUCAUGCACGAAAGCGUGGGGAGCAAACAGGAUUAGAUACCCUGGUAGUCCACGCCCUAAACGAUGUCAACUGGUUGUUGGGUCUUUGCUGACUCANAACGAAGCUAACCCUGAAGUUGAACGCCUGGGGAGUACGNCGCAAGUUGAAACUCNNNGAAUUGACGGGGACCC
rnacentral:rRNA from 1 species